GAUUUCAAUUUAUCUCACUUGAUCAUUUCCAAGCAUUGGAAGCGUAAGUAUACGUUGUAUGUAUAUGAGAUACGUACGUAGUCGUGAAACGUUUAAGGAUAUUGAUCUUUGAUCGCUCAGUUGUUUCUAGCAAUCGACCCGUUUAUAAGAUAAUUAUUGUUUAAGGCCAAUAUCUCGAAUCUCGAGUUCUUCCCGUCAAUCAAUCUAUUUAUAUUACUUAUUUUUCCAGUCACUCAUAUACCGAGAAAUUCUAAAUAUAUCCAACACGCGCAAGAAGAAUCACUCUGUGCAUUUUGAUCAUUUGAUUGAUUGAAACCCUAGUGCAUCUCUUAUUCUUCGAAGAGAAACGUAUAAAUCUUUAAGAAAUUUCAUUCGAUUCGAAACUUAUACAUAUUCUUCCCUUUUUCAAGGUUAGAAGAAACAAGUAGCAUACCAUCACGUGUACCAGAGUCGACGUAUAGAAACGUAAUCGGAGUGGAAUGGCAUUCAGUUGAAAUAUCGAUGCAUGAUUUACGUCAAGAAUGUCCGCCAACCAACCAAUUGAUACCAAUUCCGUCCGUUGUGCAAUUGGCGUCGCUUGACAUCACUUUAUUUAGACGCAUGCGCUAUUUAUCACGCUAAACAUCGUAUUCUGUGAACGGCCAUGUUGUGUAAAAGGUUGUGGAUCAAGAGAAAAUGGAGGAUUUGUCGAAUAUGACGAAUAUCAUGAUUCAGUGAUGACAAAAACACGUUUAUGAUUACGAUAAUGAAACAGACAUUCCUGAAUAUAAGGUUACCACAUGCAAAAUGAAUGUAACGAAUUAUUGGACCACGAUAAAUUAUAUCUCAACCCAAAAUCUCGUCAAAAUAGAUUGUGAACGAAAUUUACAAAUACGAUAUUGCUAAAUAAUCAGAAAUCUUUAUUUCGGGGUUAUCGAAAUCUGACAUUUUCUUUGAAACAGUAAACACUUAGAUUUGUCAAAGUCUCGAUUCUAGAUCUUUAAAAAUGAUCUAGUGUUUUUAUAGUAUUAUAUAUUAUAUACAUUAUAUAAUAAUAUAACAUAAUACAACAUAAAUUCUUCAAAUAUUUAAACUCUCAAUUCUCAUUUUUUUUUAGUCUUCACUAUCAUUAAAGGUAAGAAUAAAAAAAAAUUAAAAUUUUAUGUUUUUAACAAAUUAUAUAUCAUGGCUUGAAUUCUGUGCUUAUAACGAAUAAAUAUUAUAUUUAUUAUUAUACUUCUAUUUCUAAUCUUUAUUUUUUUCUUUUUUUCUUCCUGCAAAUUUCUCUUGAGGAAAAUUGAACUGAAUUAUAAAUAACAAGAAAAAUUACGAAGACAUUUCAAAUUUCUUGAGCAUUUCCUUAAAAACAGUCGUGGUAUAUCUUAAUUGGAAAUUUCUCUGAAACAAGAAGAAGCAAGGAAAAGAAAAAGUAGUAUAAAAAGAAAUGAAUACUUUGAUAUUCCAUUGGAUAUAAGAAAUUGAUUAAAGUUAGAAUGACGCGUGCUGUGCGUAGUCAUACGCGUGCCAUAGAUAAAUUAGUGUCACUUAAGAGAAGCGCGCGUAAACUCGAGAUUCGUGUGAAAACCCAUCUUUGAGUCAAAUAAUUCAAAUGAAAAACACAAAAAUAAAGAAAAAAUUAAAAAAAGAAAGUCAGUCAAUUGAACAACAGUCAAUCAUAGAAAGAGAUAGAAGAUAGAUAUAGAAAUAAAUUUCGUAGGGGAAAGGAGAGGAGAGAGAAAUAAAUCUGCACUCAAUUUAGAUAACGUCUCGUCAUUACAUAUUUGCAAACUCUGUUUUUCAAUGCGGAUAAAUAUGCUCGAAGAUUUUAGAUUUCUAAAGCUUAAAGAAACAGUGAUAUAGUUUACCUGCACUUUAGUUGGGCAUUCUCUCCACGUCGAAUAGAGCCGAGUUCCAAACUGGAGUUGGAGGCGUCUGAAUCGCUGUGCACUGGGCUCGGUGGACCACCGUUCGUCAAACCAUCAGGCGACACUCCCAAACCCGGCAACGUGGUCGAUGGGGAAGUUCCGAGUUCUUCCUCGACCGGCAUGCUUCGCGGCCAAACCGGAAGGUCUAGCGGUGCUUGCUGAUGCAGGCUGAGGCUCCCGUAGUAGUUGAUGUUUGGGCUAGUCGGGUAACCGGAAAUCGGGCUGUAAAAACCCGGUAUCGUUCCUAGCAACGUGCCAGGAUAACGAACGGAGCCGUACGCACCAACGUGGCUUGGCAUUCUACCCGGGACGUAAACGAUCAUUUUUAUUCUCUUUUUUUUUUUUGUAUUUUCGUUAAUCGAAUUCGACCAGAAACGUGCAAACUUCCCCUUUAUAAAAUUUUUAGACUUUCAAUCAAAGAGAAUUUUGUGAAUAUAUAGUAUCGAUUGUGUUCACUUUGAUGUGAAAAAUAUGAUUUACGAAUGGAUUUGAAAGGUUGACAAUAGGUUGACAAUAUUUUCGUUUAUUUCAAAUCAAUUUAAUCUUGCGUUUCAUCGGCUGCUAAUAUAUCUAUGUGAUUACGAUUGAUUCGUAUCACCUCUUUAUAGAUUGAAAUACGUUUUCUUCUUUCGCGAUUUUAUCGUGUUUUCGAAAGCGUUUCGAAAAUGGCGGACGUCUCCUCGUUUCCUCAGACCGUAUCGAGGGUAGGAAACGAUCGACGCAUCGGUGAAAAUCGCGAACAAGACUUUCCAGGUCUUGCCGAUCCCUUUCUCUGUGUUCGAGCCCUCAAUCCGAACUAUCCGUUCCCAACAAGUCGAACACGGCACAGUACGCUCACAUAUACACUCUCGCCGUAGCGCACACCCUUUUAUCACACUUAGUCCGAGUCCGUAUCGUCAGAUGUACUUGAACCGAUUCGACUUGAGUAUACGGUAGCUCAGGAAUUGUUUGCUGUACUCGAUCGAGAACAUAACUAGGCUGGCCCGCAACAGAUUCAUCAAACGUGGGUAGUAUUCUUUAUUCUUCACGGUGGCCGUCGUCUUUCUAGAACGAUAUUUCAAAUCCGAUCCGCAAUUCCGAUCGAGCUUCGUGGCGCGUGGAAAAACACAGCAAAUGUUUCGUGGAGAGCGUUCGGUUUACUACCGACGCUAGAACACCGUCGCCUUCAUUUUUUAAUUUCUUUCUAUUAUCCCUCUGUUUUGAUUUGUGUAUAAAUUGUAACUCUAAAGCUUAACUUUCCUUAUUCUUAUCUUUCAACAAAUAUCUUGGAGCGUGAUGCACCGAUGAUCGGAGUUGUUUAGGGAUGAUGAUGAAUCGCGUACCACGGUAGUCAAGACGUAUAUCGAUGAUACUCGAAAAAGAAGACGGAGGAAGAGA